AUUGAACGCUGGCGGCAGGCCUAACACAUGCAAGUCGAGCGAGCGGCGGACGGGUGAGUAAUGUCUGGGAAUUGCCAAGUCGAGGGAGAUAACAGGUGGAAAGGACUGCUAAUACCGAAAACGCGGGGAUUGCCCAGGGGGGAUUAGAGAGUGGGUGGGGUAAUGGCUCACCAAGGCGACGAUCCCUAGCUGGUCUGAGAGGAUGAUCAGCCACACUGGAACUGAGACACGGUCCAGACUCCUACGGGAGGCAGCAGUGGGGAAUAUUGCACAAUGGGGGAAAGCCUGAUGCAGCCAUGCCGCGUGUGUGAAGAAGGCCUUCGGGUUGUAAAGCACUUUCAGCGAGGAGGCGUUACUCGCAGAAGAAGCACCGGCUAACUCCGUGCCAGCAGCCGCGGUAAUAC
rnacentral:rRNA from 1 species